GACGAACGCUGGCGGCGUGCUUAACACAUGCAAGUCGAACGGAAAGGCCCUGCUUUUGUGGGGUGCUCGAGUGGCGAACGGGUGAGUAACACGUGAGUAACCUGCCCUUGACUUUGGGAUAACUUCAGGAAACUGGGGCUAAUACCGGAUAGGAGCUCCUGCUGCAUGGUGGGGGUUGGAAAGUUUCGGCGGUUGGGGAUGGACUCGCGGCUUAUCAGCUUGUUGGUGGGGUAGUGGCUUACCAAGGCUUUGACGGGGAGCCGGCCUGAGAGGGUGACCGGCCACAUUGUGACUGUGCUACGGACCAGACUCAUACGGGAGGCAGCAGUGGGGAAUAUUGCACAAUGGGCGGAAGCCUGAUGCAGCAACGCCGCGUGCGGGAUGACGGCCUUCGGGUUGCAAACCGCUUCCGCCUGUGACGAAGCCUGAGUGACGGUAAUGGGUAAAGAAGCACCGGCUAACUCCGUG
rnacentral:rRNA from 1 species